rnacentral:lncRNA from 1 species
UUCGCUUAAUACAGUUAAACCUAUUAAGUUUCCCAUUAGUAAAAUGACGUUUAUGAAUCUCCUGCUAAUCCUAGUAAGUUCCUACUAAGUACUUAUCAGGAUUAAACGAAUUACUUGGUAAGUUCCUAGUAAGUUUUCAAAAAUAAAACAAGUAUAAAAAAUCGUCUUUGUUAUACGCCAUCUUUUAUUUAUUCACACGGAAAACAAGUCAGCUUUUUUAGACUCAAUAGUUUUACUAAUUAAUAUUUGUAAUUCUAUAAAGAAAAAGCUCAAGAACAUCUGGGCAUGAUUGCGUGGUUUGCAUUUUAAUUGAUGAAUAUUUGUUCAUGUGUUAUAAUGUGGUUUUAAAUGUUAAUUUUAACUCUAUAUAAAUUCGAGCAUUUUCUGUUGUAUCAAUUCGAGCAUUUUCUGAUUCAUAGUGAUAUGCAUGUUCCAUCUCAAACCAUGUACAAUCAAUCAGCUUCAGAUUAUAAUAGCUUUGAAACAAUGAUAAUGAAAGUUUUUUCAUCGUUCUAAAUUUAUGCUACAGUUAUGGUCGUAAAAGAUUAAGAAAAAUCCUAUGGGUGCAAUUAUUCCACUGACACCUGCGAAAUUACCAAAAGAACUGACCAUCGCUGUUUAUUGUAUUUUUUUAAAUGUUCUAGUUAAACAAUCUAACACUUAA